rnacentral:snRNA from 1 species
AGAUAUGAGAGUUAUCUGCCUGUGACAUCUAUCACUCCAUUGAUCGCCAGAGUUCUGGACUGAUCUGACUUCUUAGACAGGUGUCCCUUUCUUCCUUCACUUUUCCAAGUUCAGCCCUUCUGAAGCUGAGAUAGGUUGAAGACAACUUUCCCCACAGUCUUCAGGCAAGGGUACAUGAGCCGCUGCACUCCCUGCUAGACCUAAAGAAGGGCUCAAGAUUGUGGAUUGGUAUACUUGAAAUUGUUUACAAAAAUCUUGUAAUUUUGAAAUUGUCAAAGAAUAAAUUUUA